AACGAACGCUGGCGGCAUGCCUAACACAUGCGAGUCGAACGAGACCUUCGGGUCUAGUGGCACACGGGUGCGUAACGCGUGGGAACCUGCCCUUAGGUUCGGAAUAACUCCCCGAAAGGGGUGCUAAUACCGGAUAAUGUCUUCGGACCAAAGAUUUAUCGCCUUUGGAUGGGCCCGCGUUGGAUUAGCUAGUUGGUAGGGUAAAAGCCUACCAAGGCGACGAUCCAUAGCUGGUCUGAGAGGAUGAUCAGCCACACUGGGACUGAGACACGGCCCAGACUCCUACGGGAGGCAGCAGUGGGGAAUAUUGGACAAUGGGCGAAAGCCUGAUCCAGCAAUGCCGCGUGAGUGAUGAAGGCCUUAGGGUUGUAAAGCUCUUUUACCCGGGAUGAUAAUGACAGUACCGGGAGAAUAAGCUCCGGCUAACUCCGUG
rnacentral:rRNA from 1 species